rnacentral:rRNA from 1 species
UUAAGCAUAUCAUUAAGCGGAGGAAAAGAAACUAACAAGGAUUCCCCCAGUAACGGCGAGUGAAGCGGGAAGAGCUCAAGCUUAAAAUCUCCAUACUUGUAUGGCGAAUUGUAGUCUAUUGAGGCUGUUGUCAGCAUCGCGAUUGGGGACAAGUCCCUUGGAAAAGGGCAGCAUAGAGGGUGAUACUCCCGUCUCUGCUCCAAUCUGCGGUGUGUACGAUACGCUUUCUUUGAGUCGAGUUGUUUGGGAAUACAGCUCAAAGUAGGUGGUAAAUUCCAUCUAAAGCUAAAUAUUGGUGCGAGACCGAUAGCGAACAAGUACCGUGAGGGAAAGAUGAAAAGAACUUUGAAAAGAGAGUUAAAGAGUACCUGAAACUGUUGAAAGGGAACCGUAUCGUUUCCAGUGUUGUAUCCUAUGCAUAUUUCAUUCGCGGAGUAAUUUGCGGGUGCCCUGUGCAUGGGUGUGACGUCAGGGUCAGUUUGUAUGCUGCGGGAGAUGGUCAGUGAGGAGGUGCGUCACUUCGGUGAAAGUUAUAUCUCGCUGUCUAGUAGCCGUGGUUGAGACUGAGGUGCCUACAACAUGCCUUAAGGUUCCGUGUUGUCUCGUGUUGGUGACUGCUUUGAUAGCUUGCUAUGUCUGUGGUUUAUCAGUGCGAUUGAUGAUGCGGAUAACUUUUGCUGUUCGGGACUCUGGCGAAAUGGAGCGAUACGACCCGUCUUGA